AUGCUCACUUCAGCAGCACAUAUACUAAAAUUGGAAUGAUACAGAGAUUAGCAUGGCCCCUGUGCAAGGAUGACAGGAAAAUUCAUGAAGCAUUCCAUAUUAAA
ensembl:snRNA U6 U6 spliceosomal RNA